rnacentral:rRNA from 1 species
AUUGAACGCUGGCGGCAGGUUUAACACAUGCAAGUCGAGCGGGGGAGGUUGCUUCGGUAACUGACCUAGCGGCGGACGGGUGAGUAAUACUUAGGAAUCUGCCUAUUAAUGGGGGACAACAUCUCGAAAGGGAUGCUAAUACCGCAUACGCCCUACGGGGGAAAGCAGGGGAUCUUCGGACCUUGCGCUAAUAGAUGAGCCUAAGUCGGAUUAGCUAGUUGGUGGGGUAAAGGCCUACCAAGGCGACGAUCUGUAGCGGGUCUGAGAGGAUGAUCCGCCACACUGGGACUGAGACACGGCCCAGACUCCUACGGGAGGCAGCAGUGGGGAAUAUUGGACAAUGGGCGGAAGCCUGAUCCAGCCAUGCCGCGUGUGUGAAGAAGGCCUUUUGGUUGUAAAGCACUUUAAGCGAGGAGGAGGCUACUAGUAUUAAUACUACUGGGUAGUGGACGUUACUCGCAGAAUAAGCACCGGCUAACUCUGUGCCAGCCGCCGCCGUAACAC